GACGAACGCUGGCGGCGUGCUUAACACAUGCAAGUCGAACGGAAAGGCCCCUUCGGGGGUACUCGAGUGGCGAACGGGUGAGUAACACGUGAGUAACCUGCCCUUGACUUCGGGAUAACUUCAGGAAACUGGGGCUAAUACCGGAUAGGAAUCCUUGCUGCAUGGUGGGGGUUGGAAAGCUUCGGCGGUUUUGGAUGGACUCGCGGCUUAUCAGCUUGUUGGUGGGGUAGUGGCUCACCAAGGCUUUGACGGGUAGCCGGCCUGAGAGGGCGACCGGCCACAUUGGGACUGGGAUACGGCCCAGACUCCUACGGGAGGCAGCAGUGGGGAAUAUUGCACAAUGGGCGGAAGCCUGAUGCAGCGACGCCGCGUGGGGGAUGACGGCCUUCGGGUUGUAAACCGCUUUCAGCAGGGGCGAAGCUUGUGGUGACGGUACCUGCAGAAGAAGCACCGGCUAACUACGUG
rnacentral:rRNA from 1 species